rnacentral:rRNA from 1 species
GACGAACGCUGGCGGCGUGCUUAACACAUGCAAGUCGAACGGAAAGGCCCUGCUUUUGUGGGGUGCUCGAUUUGCGAACGGGUGAGUAACACGUGUGUAACCUGCCCUUUACUUUGGUAUAACUUCAGGAAACUGGGUCUAAUACCUGAUAGGAUCUCCUGCUGCAUGGUGGGGGUUGGAAAGUUUCGGCGGUUGGGGAUGGACUCGCGGCUUAUCAGCUUGUUGGUGGGGUAGUGGCUUACCAAGGCUUUGACGGGUAGCCGGCAUGAGAGGGUGACCGGCGACAUUGGGACUGAGAUAGGGCCAAGAAGCCAAGGGGAGGCAGCAGUGGGGAAUAUUGCACAAUGGGAGGAAGCCUGAUGCAGAAACGCGGCGUGCGGGAUGACGGCAUUCGGGUUGUAAACAGAUUUAGAAUGUGACGAAGCGUGAGUGACGGUAAUGGGUAAAGAAGCAACGGCUAACUACGUG